GCCAGGUAUGGUGGUGCAUGCCUAUAAUCCCAGCAGCUUGGGAGGCUGAGGCAGAAGGAUCGUGAGUUCAAAGCCAGCCUCACCAAAAAUGAGGAGCUAAUGAGGACCCUGUCUCUA
rnacentral:sRNA from 1 species